rnacentral:rRNA from 1 species
UAGGGAAUCUUCGGCAAUGGGGGGAACCCUGACCGAGCAACGCCGCGUGAGUUAAGAAGGUUUUCGGAUCGUAAAGCUCUGUUGUUAAGGAAGAACGAGCGUGAGAAUGGAAAGUUCAUGCUGUGACGGUACUUAACCAGAAAGGGACGGCUAACUACGUGCCAGCAGCCGCGGUAAUACGUAGGUCCCGAGCGUUGUCCGGAUUUAUUGGGCGUAAAGCGAGCGCAGGCGGUUAGAAAAGUCUGAAGUGAAAGGCAGUGGCUCAACCAUGUGAGGCUUUGGAAACUGUUUAACUUGAGUGCAGAAGGGGAGAGUGGAAUUCCAUGUGUAGCGGUGAAAUGCGUAGAUAUAUGGAGGAACACCUGUGGCGAAAGCGGCUCUCUGGUCUGUAACUGACGCUGAGGCUCGAAAGCGUGGGGAGCGAACAGG